rnacentral:rRNA from 1 species
UGCGUAGGGGGCAAGCGUUGUCCGGAUUUAUUGGGCGUAAAGAGCUCGUAGGUGGUUCGGUAAGUCGGAUGUGAAAUCUCCAGGCUACAACCUGGGAGGGUCAUUCGAUACUGCCGUGACUAGAGUUCGGUAGGGGAGUGUGGAAUUCCUGGUGGAGCGGUGAAAUGCGCAGAUAUCAGGAGGAACACCCGUAGCGAAGGCGGCACUCUGGGCCGAUACUGACACUGAGGAGCGAAAGCGUGGGGAGCGAACAGG